GCCUCAUACUUCCAGCCAACCUCAGUGGGUCAAACCGUAAGCAUCGCUCUGCGGAACCCCAUACCUGCAGCGUCAAUGCCUGCUAACGGCAUAAUAGUUCUCGAAGUGCAGGCUUCGGCUCCGGUGCCGUCACGGCGCACACCACGGUCGUGCUUACUGUUGUCACGGAAAGUGACCUCAUUCCGAUUGUUGAGCUCGUUUUCAGCGCAACCCAUUACACUGGCACCUUUACCGAAGUGGGAGGUCUCGUGUUUACCACACCGAUCACACUAUCUCGAGGAUACGACGCCACAGUGCAGUUCACUCUAGAAGGAGAUGACUCUCAGUGGUUCGGUCUGACGCGAUCACAAAACUCGGCGAUUCUGACUUUAACCAACGCGAUUCCUGCAGCAGUAAUAGCAAACAAUCGAAAUCUCAUCUUCUCCGUCGUCGCUCAAAGACCCGGUAGCGCAGAUGCCAGAAGCACCAUUGUCAUCGCGCUAGCAGACGAAUACAAUGACGGAAUGAGCCUCCUCGGCUUCGAAAGGGUCACGUACGUCGGUACCUUCAUAAAUAACGCAGUAACUGUUGACCCGAUAGUACUCAGUGAAGGUUACACCCCGAGCGUAACUUUCACGCUACACGGAGAUCUCGCCUCAUACUUCCAA